rnacentral:rRNA from 1 species
AGGUAAGCUACUAAGAGCGAAUGGUGGAUGCCUUGACUGGUAAAGGCGAUGAAGGACGUACUAGACUGCGAUAAGCUACGGGGAGCUGUCAAGAAGCUUUGAUCCGUAGAUUUCCGAAUGGGGCAACCCAAUGUAUAGAGAUAUACAUUACCUAUAUAGGAGCGAACGAGGGGAAUUGAAACAUCUUAGUACCCUCAGGAAAAGAAAUCAAUAGAGAUUGCGUCAGUAGCGGCGAGCGAAAGCGUAAGAGGGCAAACCCAGUGCUUGCACUGGGGGUUGUAGGACUGCAAUGUGCAAGAGGUGAGUUUAGCAGAACAUUCUGGAAAGUAUAGCCAUAGAGGGUGAUAGUCCCGUAUGCGAAAAACAAACCUUAGCUAGCAGUAUCCUGAGUAGGGCGGGACACGAGAAAUCCUGUCUGAAGCUGGGUCGACCACGAUCCAACCCUAAAUACUAAUACCAGAUCGAUAGUGCACAAGUACCGUGAGGGAAAGGUGAAAAGAACUGAGGUGAUCAGAGUGAAAUAGAACCUGAAACCAUUUGCUUACAAUCAUUCAGAGCACUAUGUAGCAAUACAGUGUGAUGGACUGCCUUUUGCAUAAUGAGCCUGCGAGUUGUGGUGUCUGGCAAGGUUAAGCAAACGCGAAGCCGUAGCGAAAGCGAGUCUGAAUAGGGCGCUUAGUCAGAUGCUGCAGACCCGAAACGAAGUGAUCUAUCCAUGAGCAAGUUGAAGCUAGUGUAAGAACUAGUGGAGGACUGAACCCAUAGGCGUUGAAAAGCCCCGGGAUGACUUGUGGAUAGGGGUGAAAGGCCAAUCAAACUUCGUGAUAGCUGGUUCUCUCCGAAAUAUAUUUAGGUAUAGCGUUGUGUCGUAAUAUAAGGGGGUAGAGCACUGAAUGGGCUAGGGCAUACACCAAUGUACCAAACCCUAUCAAACUCCGAAUACCUUAUAUGUAAUCACAGCAGUCAGGCGGCGAGUGAUAAAAUCCGUCGUCAAGAGGGAAACAACCCAGACUACCAGCUAAGGUCCCUAAAUCUUACUUAAGUGGAAAACGAUGUGAAGUUACUUAAACAACCAGGAGGUUGGCUUAGAAGCAGCCAUCCUUUAAAGAAAGCGUAAUAGCUCACUGGUCUAGUGAUUUUGCGCGGAAAAUAUAACGGGGCUAAAGUAAGUACCGAAGCUGUAGACUUGAUUUUAUCAAGUGGUAGGAGAGCGUUCUAUUUGCGUCGAAGGUAUACCGGUAAGGAGUGCUGGAGCGAAUAGAAGUGAGCAUGCAGGCAUGAGUAGCGAUAAUUAAUGUGAGAAUCAUUAACGCCGUAAACCCAAGGUUUCCUACGCGAUGCUCGUCAUCGUAGGGUUAGUCGGGUCCUAAGUCGAGUCCGAAAGGGGUAGACGAUGGCAAAUUGGUUAAUAUUCCAAUACCAACAUUAGUGUGCGAUGGAAGGACGCUUAGGGCUAAGGGGGCUAGCGGAUGGAAGUGCUAGUCUAAGGUCGUAGGAGGUUAUACAGGCAAAUCCGUAUAACAAUACUCCGAGAACUGAAAGGCUUUUUGAAGUCUUCGGAUGGAUAGAAGAACCCCUGAUGCCGUCGAGCCAAGAAAAGUUUCUAAGUUUAGCUAAUGUUGCCCGUACCGUAAACCGACACAGGUGGGUGGGAUGAGUAUUCUAAGGCGCGUGGAAGAACUCUCUUUAAGGAACUCUGCAAAAUAGCACCGUAUCUUCGGUAUAAGGUGUGGUUCGCUUCGUAUUAGGAUUUACUCCGAAAGCGAAGAAACUUACAACAAAGAGUCCCUCCCGACUGUUUACCAAAAACACAGCACUCUGCUAACUCGUAAGAGGAUGUAUAGGGUGUGACGCCUGCCCGGUGCUCGAAGGUUAAUUGAUGGGGUUAGCAUUAGCGAAGCUCUUGAUCGAAGCCCGAGUAAACGGCGGCCGUAACUAUAACGGUCCUAAGGUAGCGAAAUUCCUUGUCGGUUAAAUACCGACCUGCAUGAAUGGCGUAACGAGAUGGGAGCUGUCUCAAAGAGGGAUCCAGUGAAAUUGUAGUGGAGGUGAAAAUUCCUCCUACCCGCGGCAAGACGGAAAGACCCCGUGGACCUUUACUACAGCUUGACACUGCUAUUUGGAUAAGAAUGUGCAGGAUAGGUGGGAGGCUUUGAGUAUAUGACGCCAGUUGUAUAUGAGCCAUUGUUGAGAUACCACUCUUUCUUAUUUGGGUAGCUAACCAGCUUGAGUUAUCCUCAAGUGGGACAAUGUCUGGUGGGUAGUUUGACUGGGGCGGUCGCCUCCCAAAUAAUAACGGAGGCUUACAAAGGUUGGCUCAGAACGGUUGGAAAUCGUUCGUAGAGUAUAAAGGUAUAAGCCAGCUUAACUGCAAGACAUACAAGUCAAGCAGAGACGAAAGUCGGUCUUAGUGAUCCGGUGGUUCUGUGUGGAAGGGCCAUCGCUCAAAGGAUAAAAGGUACCCCGGGGAUAACAGGCUGAUCUCCCCCAAGAGCUCACAUCGACGGGGAGGUUUGGCACCUCGAUGUCGGCUCAUCGCAUCCUGGGGCUGGAGCAGGUCCCAAGGGUAUGGCUGUUCGCCAUUUAAAGCGGUACGCGAGCUGGGUUCAGAACGUCGUGAGACAGUUCGGUCCCUAUCUGCCGUGGGCGUAAGAAGAUUGAAGAGAUUUGACCCUAGUACGAGAGGACCGGGUUGAACAAACCACUGGUGUAGCUGUUGUUCUGCCAAGAGCAUCGCAGCGUAGCUAAGUUUGGAAAGGAUAAACGCUGAAAGCAUCUAAGCGUGAAGCCAACUCUAAGAUGAAUCUUCUCUAAGCUCUCUAGAAGACUACUAGUUUGAUAGGCUGGGUGUGUAAUGGAUGAAAGUCCUUUAGCUGACCAGUACUAAUAGAGCGUUUGGCUUAUCUUU